UACGUAGGGUGCGAGCGUUGUCCGGAAUUAUUGGGCGUAAAGAGCUCGUAGGCGGUCUGUCGCGUCGGCUGUGAAAUCCCGGAGCUCAACUCCGGGUCUGCAGUCGAUACGGGCAAACUGGAGUACUGCAGGGGAGACUGGAAUUCCUGGUGUAGCGGUGAAAUGCGCAGAUAUCAGGAGGAACACCGGUGGCGAAAGCGGCUCACUGGACCACAACUGACGCUGAGGCGCGAAAGCUAGGGGAGCAAACAGG
rnacentral:rRNA from 1 species